ensembl:lncRNA LINC00705 long intergenic non-protein coding RNA 705
CAGCUUUUUGGAUUGGCUCACAGUUUUCCUACUUUUCUGUCCUGUCAGUUGAGAAGAAUACAUUUCAAGAGAUGCUCUUGGAAAACACGUUUGAUGGAGAGGUUGAUUUUUGUAACCUGUAUGCCGUAGUCAGAAGAGCCGUCCUCUGGCAGAUAUGUGAAAGAACUGCCUAUGAGGAGCGAGAGGCUACUUCGCACACCUCGCAGCUCAGGUCCCCGGAGACGGCUUUACAGGCACACAAGCCCCUCUCCCAAGCCAUCUGCCAGGAGCCCCAUGAGGAACACAGCACAGCGCCUGCAUCAGAAGCCCAUGGGUUUGCCUAUCACAUGUCUUGUUUUCUCCUGAUCCGUGGCUCACAGGCUCAGUGUGACCCAACCUCCUAGAUUUCCCCAUCAGUGCUAUUUGCAGUGCCCCCAAGCACUUUCCUCCACUCCAGUCCCUGAGCGCAUGCCAACGGCCCUAUUUUCAGCCACCCCUCUCCAUGCCUCUUGUCUGUCUCUAGCUGACAAGCAGAUUAUCUCUUCUGUCCACUUUGUUUGCCAAUGUACUUUGGCACCAUUGAAUUCCAACACAUGAAGUAAACUGAACUGUGUACAACGCUGAGCACACACGUGGUUUGGAGAGCAGCCCCUUGUCAGGAUCCAAAAUGUUCCCAAGCCUUGUUGAUAUUUGGGUCACUGCAGAUCUCUGAGUCCCCCUUCCUUUUUAAUCUUCUUCCCCUCAACUCAUUCUCAAUUUCUCUCUCUGAAACCACCUGUGAACACACUUAUGCAUUCAAAUAGAUGCAUACUGUUCAUGCUUAUAUUUUUCUGUAACCGUCAUAUCUAAUAAAUACUUAUCAUCCAGGAAAAAAA